rnacentral:RNase_P_RNA from 1 species
UGAGUUGGCCGGGCGGCCGCGUUGACCUUCGGGUCACCGAGGAAGGUCCGGGCUCCGAAGGACGAGGUGGUGGGUAACGCCCACCCGGGGUGACCCGCGGGAAAGUGCCACAGAAAACAGACCGCCCGUGCAAGCGGGUAAGGGUGAAACGGUGGUGUAAGAGACCACCAGCGUUGAUGGUGACAUCGACGGCUCGGUAAACCCCACCUGGAGCAAGACCAGACAGCGUGCGUUUGAGGGCGGUCCGUCCGAGCAUGCGGGUAGGUCGCUUGAGGGCGUCGGCAACGGCGCCCCUAGAUGGAUGGUCGCCAACCAAUGGCCCGUGAGGGCCCUGGAAACAGAACCCGGCCUACAGGCCAACUCAUCCG